UACGAGGGGGGCGAGCGUUGUUCGGAAUUAUUGGGCGUAAAGGGUGCGUAGGCGGUUCCGCAAGUCCUGUGUGAAAUCUUCGGGCUCAACUCGAAGUCUGCACGGGAAACUGCGGGGCUUGAGUGUGGGAGAGGUGAGUGGAAUUCCAGGUGUAGCGGUGAAAUGCGUAGAUAUCUGGAGGAACACCGGUGGCGAAGGCGGCGUUCUGGACUGCAACUGACACUGAAAAACGAAAGCCAGGGGAGCAAACGGG
rnacentral:rRNA from 1 species